CGUUUCAAUUAUAUAAAAACACAACGAGAAUUUUCUUACAAAAGGUUCCAUCAAAACCCUAAAUAAUAAAUUAGCUAUUCAUAAUAGUAUGCAAAACUACAAUACUAGAAUUCAUAACCUAUAAUGAAAAUAGGAAGAAGGAAGUGAAAAACUCGUAGAAGAAUUCUCCUCCUUGCUCCUAGUGUGUUCAUGCCUCCUUGGGUCGAAUCCCCUCUCUAUAAACGUCCACCCUCUCUAAAAAAUAACUUUAAAUGUAUUUGUAAGGUAGGGUUAACGUGUCCACGUCCAAAACUAAGGAGGAAAUAAAAUUGGCUCGGAUAGCAUCAUCGGCGCGAGGCAUUGUCUGAGGCACCAAUAUUUCUGCGCGAGGCACUGUCUGGGCCACCAAUAUUUCUGCGCGAGGCACUGUCUAUGGCGCCAAUGUUUCUGUGCUAGGCACUGUCUGGGGCACCAAUGACAAUGCCCUGGACAAUGCAUUGCACUGUCUAUGGCCAUGACUUUUCAUUGCCUUGCACGUUUUCUUUUAUCGCUCCAUUUUGUAGCUCUGAGGUACCAUUUCGUGCAACUUUUCUCCAAUUCAUGUCCAAGCAUUCCUACACGUGAAAUAAGCUCUAUUAAGCGCAAUUGUCGCACAAAUUAGCAUUCAAAGAACAAGCAAGUAGGGUAAAUAACGUCAAAAUAUAUGAAAUUAUAGCACAACAUCAACAUCACAUACUUAAAUAUUGCUCGCCCUUGAGUCAACCAACCAAACACUUCCUCUUCAAGGACCCAACAAGCCAUACAUUUACAACACACUACACCUAUGGUCAUGGUUGAUAAAAAUAAUUAAGCUAUAGUAUAUGCUGUUAAAAUAUACUUCCCGUACUUAUGCCCAAUUUUAAAAUAUCUAACAUACGAACAACAUGAUUAUAACAAUCCUAGCCUCGAAAACUAACUAAAUAUCACAAUGCGCCCGAGGCUUGAAUACUUAAUCUAACAGAGAGGUCUAAUAAUGUUACCUAUCCUUUAUGAAACAAUGUGCCCUCACAAUAAAAUAAAGAGUAAGCAGUCCACGUAUCCAAAUUAUAUGAUCGAAUAUAUUUUAAGGACUCACACAUAUGAAAAACAAUCACUCACUCUCUCAAAGAAGUCAUAUGCACGCAAACGGUACCAUAUGCUUGCCCAUUAUGUAAACCUCUACUAAUGUAUGCCCACUCGGUUCGAAAUCAACUAGGACUUUAUUAUGGUUAUAAUGUGGGCUAAGAGACGAGUAGGAUAUAUUUAGAAUAUAGUGGCUAACCCUCCUAAGCACCUUAACACAUCAUGUAUUCAACUUUAAGCGCAAAAUUCCCUCAAUCCACUUCAAUCAUCACAAGGUAGCUUACCCCAGAAUAUUUUUUCUUUUUCUUUACGCACUGCUUCAGAUCACAUCCACUAGCAAAAAUAAGAAACCUUUAUUUAUUCAUUUAUUCUUUCCUCUUUUUUUUUUUUUUUUUUUAUUUUUACCUUGCUGCUAGUGGAUUUUUAUUUAAAUCACAAGUGCACAUUUCUUCCUUCUAUUGGUUCCACUCAAAAGCUACACCAAGUUUCCUCAUUACUUCUUUCUAGCGUUCUCUUUACAAUUCAAGUGCUUUAAGAGGUAUAAGGAUCAAAAUAAUUCAAUUAAGAACAAAAGGGGAUAUGCUUGUAAUGCGGGUGCCAAAAGAAAGGUUUAUAGGCUUAAAAGGGUAACUAGGGAUGAUUUUAUUUGUGAUAAGCAACAAAACCCAAAAAGAUUAAAGAAAUCCUAACAUUACUUUUGAAACCGAGCAACACCUAGGAUUUCGCUUCAAUUUACAUUUCGGGCAAGUUCUAGACUCAAAUGCAAUAACAUGGACUAUACAAAGAACUCACUUCGCACAUGACACAUGACUCACUAAUGACGGUCCCAUUCAGACUCUCAAUCAAACAAAUAUUCACACAGCCAAGAGAUAUAUUAAGGAUGAAGCACAAGUGAACACAAGUCAAGCAACCAAGACAUAUGAGUCAUACAACAUACAAUUCAUUUUUUUCAAGGCAUCAUCCUAUAUUUAAAUUCAAGGGAUGGUGAACAACAUGCUAGAACUUAAAUAUGCAACCAUCAAACAAGUCAAAAGGUGCGAAUCACAUCAUUUCUUCUCCUUUAUUUCCUACAUACUACUCUAAAAAUAACUACUACCCGGUUAAAGUUAAAUCCCAUGGAAAAGAAUCGAGACACGAAGAAAAAUCACGAGGGAUUAUUACUACCCAAGAAAAAUAAAAAAAAAAUAUGUUUUUGAAUUUUUUUAUUUUCUCAUUUUUUUUAAUAUUUUUUGUUUAGACUUAUAUCCCUCAAGAAAACUAUCUAGGAGAUCCAUCGUUGGGAAAAAUUUAUUUUAUUUUACUAAAAAAUCAUCAAUUAAACUAACACAACUAAAAUAACAUAGAAAGUCACCCAGAAAAUCUCCUCACCCCACACUUAAAAUUAUGCAUUGUCCCUAAUGCACAACAUAAAUAAUAAGAGGAUAAAAGAAACUCCCUGGUAGGCCAAAGGCCGAAGCACUAGCAGCUCAUGGGGUACUCAGACUUCUCCCCGGGUAUUUUUCUUUGUAUGGGCACCCCACACUUAGUUUUAACCAUCUGGCUUGCUGUUGCAUCAUUCCAAUAGAUUUGCUUCCCAUGCUCCUAACAAAAUAAAAAAUGACACUACAAAAAUAACACAAUAAUUUUUUUUUUAAAAACUAAAAAUAUAAGAAAGCAGUAAAGUUGGGUUGCCUCCCAACAAGUGCCUGAUUUAACGUCGCGGCAUGACGUGAACCACUUUCUGCCUCCACCUCGAGCUUAUGAAUUGAAUACUAAGUUUUGAUUCAAGCUUGAUUAUUCUCCUGGUGCGGUAUAAAUUCUUGUGAGCCAAAAAUUAAGUAAAUUCUCAUGCACCUUUUGGCUCUCGACCGAGGAAUGUGACCUUACCUUGACGACCUUGAAUAUUUCAAAAUAUAAGGCUCAUCUACCUCUUCCCGUGACUCUUUUUUAUGCUCAUAAGGAUCAAUUCUCAUUUCACCAUCCGAACAUAUUGUAAAGAAGUGUUUGGAAUGAAGUUUGACAUGCUCAAAUACCUAAACUUCAAAAGUUUUAGCCUCCUCGACAUAAAUUAUACUAGAAUCAACUAAAUUUGUAUUCUCAAUGUCCUUGCGUGACUCUAGUAUCAUUUUUUCAACAUUGACAUCAUCUAAUUCUAGCUGGUUAGAGUGUUAGUGUUCUACUCUGGACUCCUCCAUUGGCACCUAUAUUUUUGUCUUUAAUGCACACUAUUCCCGGCUAAUAUCCAUAAUAUUAACUUGUUGAGCAUUAAAAGUUUCAACUAGUUGACUCACUUGAGCCUCCAAGUUGCGAAUAGUUGCCUCUUGCCUUUGUAUCUGCAGUUGUAUCUCAUUAUUAUUUCCCAUAAGGUACCUUAGCAUGUCCUUGAUCUUCUUCAGGUCAUCAUCCUUGGGUCCUUUAUUCCUAUUCACUUCACAAGAAAAAGUAGAACUAUAAUAGUAAGGGGUUGGGGAGGAUAAGAAAUAUAAACACAACCAUGAAAGUGAUCAUUUUGACCACCACACACAUUCUACAAGAAAUAUUGAGUUGGUGCACAUAACUCGCUCUCAGGAACAUUUUAAAAAUUUUACCACGGGUGGUUUCCUUCACAAUAUGUAUACGGAUCAAAAGUAAAAUUACCAACACCUAAACUUCUAUAAUUCCAAGAUGUCAUGUUUAUCAAAUAAAUAAGUAAAAUAAAAAAAAUAAAAAAAUAAACAAAACAAACAAAAUAAAAGUUCAAACUUGAAACCUAGCAAUAUGUAAAACUAUAACUACACCGUUAGUUCCCCGGCAACGAAGCCAAAAUUUGAUCACGCCCAACUCUAGUCCUAAAAAGGAUAAGCGAUCGCUGCAAAUAUAAUCCAGUCUAAGAGUCCGGAGUCGAAUCCCACAGAGAACUAAGGUUUAUCUACAACUGUUGACUAUCACUAAGAAGACAAUUUCAAACAAUUCCUAAGUUAUAAAUAUUAAGAUUCUUAUAUCUAAUUAACUAACAAAUUAAAGUAGUAUAUUAACAACUAAAGAUACUACGGGUUGGAAAAAAGAUUAAGGAAGUCUAGAGUUAUGAUUUUCCCAAUUAUCGGAAUUCUUCCCCCUACGUCUUUUAUAAUUUCGCCUAAGUAUUCUCUACCGAUCGUGAGUAUUUCGGGUAUCGUAAUUCUCUCUCGAGCAACUACCACAAUUUUGAUUACGCCCAACUCUAGUCCUAAAAAGGAUAAGCAGUCGCUGCAAAUAUAAUUCGGUCUAAAAAUUCGGAGUCGAAUCCCACAGAGAACUAAGGUUUCACUGUAACUGUUCAAUAUAACUAAAAAGACAAGCUCAAACAAUUCCAAAGUUAUAAAUAUUAAGAUUCUUACGUCUAACUAAUUUACUAACAAAUUAAAGUAGUAAAUUAAUAAAUAUGGAUAUUAAGGGUUGGAGAAAAGAUUAAGGAGGUCUAGAGUUAUGAUUUUCCCAAUUGUCGGAAUCCUUCCUGCUACGUCUUCUAUAAUUUUGCCUAAGUAUUCUAUAAUUUUGCCUAAGUAUUCUCUACCGAUCGUGAGUACUUCGGAUGUCGUAAUUCUCUCUCGAGCAACUACCACAAUUUACUUGACAUAUUCUCUCGAACUAUGUUAGCUGUCACUAAUUUACCGCUCACUACGAUCGCACCAAGGUUUUGUUAUCUCUAAUCCCGCCUUUUAACCCUUCAUAUUGAUCUCUCACAUACGUUAGGAGUGAUGUUGUUCAACAACUACCUUAUAUGUACCCUCUCUCAAGCAAUAUACACUAAAUAGGCACAGUCAAUUGAUGGUCAUUCAAUCAACAAUAAUAAACACGUAGUUGAACAAGUAGAGAAAUCUAACGGUUCAAUUAUAUAAACACAUAACGAGAAUUUUCUUACAAAAGGUUCCAUCAAAACCCUAGAUAACAAAUUAGCUAUUCAUAAUAGUAUGCAAAACUACAAUACUAGAAUUCAUAACCAAUAAUGAAAAUAGGAAGAAGGAAGUGAAAAACUCGUAGAAGAAUUCUCCUCCUUGUUCCUAGCGUGUUUUUGCCUCCUUGAGUCGAAUCCUCUCUCUAAAAACGUCCACCGUCUCUAAAAAAUAACUUUAACAGGUAUUUAUAAGGUAGGGUUAACAUGUCCACGUCCAAAACUAAGGAGGAAAUAAAAUUGGCUCGGAUAGCAUCGUCGGCGCGAGGCACUGUCUGGGGCACCAAUAUUUCUACGCGAGGCACUGCCUGGUCUACCAAUAUUUCUGCGCCAAUGUUUCUGUGCUAGGCACUGUCUGGGGUGCCAAUGACAGUGCCCUGGACAAUGCCUUGCACUGUCUAUGGCCAUGACUUUUCAUUGCCUUGCACGUCUUCUUUUAUUGCUUCAUUUUGUAGCUCUAAGGUACCAUUUCGUGUAACUUUUUUUCAAUUCAUGUCCAAAUAUUCCUACACGUGUAAUAAGCUCUAUUAAGCACAAUUGUCGCACAAAUUAGCAUCCAAACAACAAGCAAGUAGGGUAAAUAAUGUCAAAAUAUAUGGAUUUAUAGCACGAAAUCACUAAUAGAACUGGUGAUAUGAGUCUAAUCACUAUGAAUUCUAAUUCUUACAUUUGAAAAAAUGUUUGUAAGGCUGACUAUUUGUGCAAAGUUGGAACAGCCUAGAAUAUUGGCACGAGAGAGACUAUAAAUCUUUGGUACGGUCGUUCAAUUCUAGAGAUACCAAUCUUCGAACACUUAUCCAGGGUCCUUUGAAUAGGUUGAAAGACCAAAAAUCCCUUAUCUAUCAUCUUCCAACAUAAUUCUUGGUAUUUUUCUAGCAUUUCUUUUAUCUUACCCUACGAAAUCAUUCAACGAAUCCAUAAUACCCACAUACAACUUCUAUGCCGAUAAAACUUUUUCGGGAUCCUUGUGCUGAUGGGUCUUUUACUAUCCAAUCGGCGUAUGCACUUUACCUCUCCCUUAGUGAAAGUAUUAGUGAUUCCUAUCCAUCAAAAUUGCAACUAGGCAUGAACUGUCUGAAUCUUGAAUAAGAUCAAGUAUUUUUUUUGGCUUCUUUAUGCUAAUAAGCUUGAUCAUACACGAGAAAUUUAAAAAGAGGACAGUCUGGUGCACAAAAUAUUCCGCAGUCAUGUAGGAUCCGUGAAAGGACCGCACCUCAAGGGGAGUAAUAGGCAGCCUACUUUGACGCAAGUAUUAAUGACUAAUUCUACUGCUCGACUUCUGACCUAUAGGUCAUACGGAGAUAACUUUAUCAUAAAUUCUCUUUGCUAGAAAUAUUAUAUCAACUAGUAAUUGCGCUCUUUGUUCUGCCCCUGUUGAGACACUUCAACAUCUCUUUAUUGAAAGCACGUUUAAUGCUCACAUAUGAACAUCCUUAAAUAUUCUCAAUGUUCACAAUUUUGGCCCUGCUAUAUAUCAAGGAAGCCUGCUCAAAGUUUAGCACCGUACCGAUUUCACCAUGAUAAUGGGCUAUUCCCUUCCCACUAAUAUACCCCUCCCGAUUGUUCUUUGGAGCAUCUGGAUUAAUCUAAAUAGAAAUGUUUUUAACAGUACCUCAACCUUCGUCUUCAUCAACGUAUCGUCGUGUAGGUUGCUAAAGUCUUCUUCCUCGCAAAUGUUGUCACCUUUUCUCCUUGGACCAUCACCAUCCAUGUUAAUUGGCAAUUGCCUUAGGAUGAUGUUGUUAAGCUUAACGUAGAUGGUGCGCAUAACAAUAUUACUGGAAAAGGAGGAAUAGGGGAAGUGUUUAGAGCCGUAUAGCUAGUUGGUGUUGGAAAAAAUAAUAUCCCGCACAAGAAUAAUAUCCACGAUAAAUAAUAAUGACACAAGAGAGUAACAAUGACACUAAAUCUUUUAACGGAGUAAAAUACAAUACCCGAGAGGAGCAAUAUAAUACCACUAUAAUAUUACAACUUUGUAGUGUCAAAAGACUACUACGACUCAAAAGAAAUAAACUCUUUAUUUUAAAUAUCUCACCACAAUAUUACUCUCACUCUAUUUUCUCACGGACUAUAAAAUAGUUUGUGGAUUACUCUCACAACUCUAAUACUUCUCUCUUAUUUUUGGUGUGUUUUCAAUGAGGAACGAAUAACUCCUUUUAUAGGCAAAAUUGCCACCAACCCAACCAAUCAGAUUGGUUC
rnacentral:lncRNA from 1 species